rfam:Salmo salar isolate Sally breed double haploid chromosome ssa20, whole genome shotgun sequence.
UCCACUCACUACUGUAAGUCGCUCUGGAUAAGAAAGUGUCUGCUAAAUGACUAAAA